GAAUGUGAGGGUGACCUGGCUAUGACAUCUGUCAUACCAUUGAUCGCCAGGGUUGAUUUGGCUGAACUGGCUGACCCCUUUCACCUUUCCUCUCUCACUGCUUCAUGUGUAUCCUUCCCUAAGCUGCAUGCUCCAUCGAAGAGGACGACCUUCCCCAGUGCAGGAGGAUUAUUAUUCAGUCAAGGGUAUACCAGUAGCUGCACUCUCCUGCCUGAACCUCCAAACAAGCUCUCAAGGUUUAUUUGUAGGAGAACGUAGGGUAGUCAAACUUCCAAGACUCCAGACACAUCCAAAUGAGGCGCUACAUGUGACAGUAUGCCUUUCUCU
rfam:Canis lupus familiaris chromosome 12, whole genome shotgun sequence.